rnacentral:rRNA from 1 species
UGGCAGACGGGUGAGUAACACGUGGGAAUCUACCCGGAGAUACGGGAAAACUGUUGGAAACAGCAGCUAAUACCGUAUAAGCCCUAGCAAUAGGGGAAAGAUUUAUCGUCUCCGGAUGAGCCCGCGCCGGAUUAGCUUGUUGGUGGGGUAAAAGCUCACCAAGGCACCGAUCCGUAGCUGGUCUGAGAGGAUGAUCAGCCACACUGGAACUGAGACACGGUCCAGACUCCUACGGGAGGCAGCAGUGGGGAAUUUUGCACAAUGGGCGCAAGCCUGAUGCAGCCAUGCCGCGUGAGUGAAGAAGGCCUUAGGGUUGUAAAACUCUUUCACCGGUUAGGAUAAUGACGUUAACCGGAGAAGAAGCCCCGGCUAACUCCGUGCCAGCAGCCGCGGUAAU